UUAGGGAGACCUACUUCAGGACAUCGUGCGAUGAUAAUAAUAGCCGAGUCUUGAGGUCAUCCUUAGGUCGGAUGGGGCGGUCAGAGAGCUUUCAAACUUUAGGGUUCGUGUUAUGGGCUAUUAGCUCAGGUGGUUAGAGCGCACCCCUGAUAAGGGUGAGGUCCCUGGUUCAAGUCCAGGAUGGCCCACAUCCACCCCAAACUGGGGGUAUAGCUCAGUUGGUAGAGCGCUGCCUUUGCACGGCAGAAGUCAGCGGUUCGAGUCCGCUUACCUCCACUCUCCUAGAAUUAGGUGCUAGUUGGGGUGAGGUAGUCUUGAAUUGAGAAAUUGAGAGUUGGUGACUGUACAGCUCCUAAGUCUGUAGAUGUUAAUCUAGGACUAGAUAGCUGGACAUAAGUUCCAGUCAGAACC
rnacentral:tRNA from 2 species